rnacentral:other from 1 species
CGCCGCCUGCGGUGUUCGACACGCGGAUCGGGUUACCUCGGACCCUAAUUGAAACACCCAGGGGCGGGCCUUGCGGCUGUGCUGUGCAUGUCCGCCUCGCGCGGGAAGCCUUACCUUCCGCAUGCCUGCCCCACCUUGUUGCUCCGGUUCGAGAGCAACGGUUCGCACCGGCACAGGCGGGUGGCGU